GAUGAACGCUGGCGGCGUGCCUAAUACAUGCAAGUCGAGCGAACAGACGAGGAGCUUGCUCCUCUGAUGUUAGCGGCGGACGGGUGAGUAACACGUGGAUAACCUACCUAUAAGACUGGGAUAACUUCGGGAAACCGGAGCUAAUACCGGAUAACAUGUUGAACCGCAUGGUUCAACAGUGAAAGACGGUCUUGCUGUCACUUAUAGAUGGAUCCGCGCCGCAUUAGCUAGUUGGUAAGGUAACGGCUUACCAAGGCAACGAUGCGUAGCCGACCUGAGAGGGUGAUCGGCCACACUGGAACUGAGAAACGGUCCAGACUCCUACGGGAGGCAGCAGUAGGGAAUCUUCCGCAAUGGGCGAAAGCCUGACGGAGCAACGCCGCGCGAGUGAAGAAGGUCUUCGGAUCGUAAAACUCUGUUAUUAGGGAAGAACAAAUGUGUAAGUAACUAUGCACGUCUUGACGGUACCUAAUCAGAAAGCCACGGCUAACUACGUG
rnacentral:rRNA from 1 species